UCCCUGGUGGCUCAGACAGUAAAGAAUCUGCCUGCAAUGCAGAAGAUCCAGGUUUGAUUUCUGGGUCAGGAAG
rnacentral:tRNA from 1 species